UGCUGGCGUCGAGUUCAGUUGUGUAGUUUGCGAUGAAGGCCUUCAAGGCUACCGCGAGAGCGGAUUGUUGUAAUUGCGACGAUCAACAGUACGGCGUCGCCAUGCACCACCUCUUACUAUCAACCGUGAGGAUUAAAGAGCUGUCGUCUUCCCACGAACAAAUUAUAGUAUAAAAACUAGCGGCGUAUUUAUUUCAAUUCUAUUACACAAUGGAAUGCAUUCUAUAUUUCGUCGAACUUUCCCACAAAUUAAAGGAGGAUGCUAGUUUUGAUGCAACGUAAUUUUUAAAGGAGAAUUAUUGGAAUUUUGAAAACCGAAUAAUAUUCAACCUGCGUUGUCAUGAAAAGUAUUUCAUGCAGGGCAACAUGUUUUACAUUUGCAUCGCAUGGUCAAGUUGAUGUUUAUUUUUAUUUCAUGAACUUGAAACAUAACAGCGAAUGAGUGCGUUAGUUUGCUCUAUUGCAAAUUUUUAGUUCCUCGUUAAACACGUUUUGUAUUCUAUGGACGCUGUUAAAGAAAGUUCAGUUUUUAUAAAUGAAUGAAGUAGACUAGAAAAUAUGGUGUAUUUUCUAAAUCAUGGCACAUUUUUAUUUGCAAAAAAGACUCAACGCCUUGAAAUAGCAUCUAUGCCUUUAAACAGUAGUUUUCGGGAAUGUUGCGUUUCUCUUUCUAUUCCAUUCUGUCAUCCUACAUACAUAUGCAAGCAAAGUACGUAUCUACUUUUGAUUGGGUUAUCUAGACUGGUAAAUAUCAAGCAAUGACACAAAUGUGAUCGAAAUGGAUUCAUCUGAAAUAACUUCCUUGCACAGAGCAACGACUAUUUUGCAUCAUAACUGGUAUGGUAUACCAUGUACGAAUUUACGAACAAACAUUUUUGUUUCAAUUGUCCUCCGAAUGUAAUAUUUUCUAAAACACCGUGUUUCGGUAGCGGCAAAAAAGGGUUGCAAGAUUGUGGACCAGUCUGUGGACAAAAAUUAUAAUGUUCUGCCCCACGCUAAUAUGUUAUCCUAUUCAGCUUAAUGGUCCGAUGGAUACUUUUUAACGUAAACGGCUUUCAUAGGCAAAUCCUUACAAUAUUUAUAUACUUUUAAACAACAUUUAUUGAUCGUAGCUAUCAAUUGUCAACAAGUGAAAAUAAUUGAUCUUACAAAAAAGUAACAUUUAUUACAUGUGAUAAGCAUGUGAGCAACUGAAUUGUAGCAUAUUGUAGCUGUUGUAAACCUUCGUUACAUCGCGUUACAUAACUAACGUACUGUGUCUCGCAUGUUAGUUGUUGUUCCUACUAUUUAAAACAGUCGUAAUUUUUUUUAAAAUUAUACAAAGAAACAUGGGUGAUAAGAUAGAUACACUAUCUUUCCGUUGAGGUUAUGUAUACCUUCCGUUUAACAAUCGAAUGAUAUGUAAUGAUUUAUAGCCAGCAACUCACAAUAUGUAGAAACAUCGUAUUUCCUAAUCUGAUGCAAGUGCGAAUGAUCAAUGUACAGGAAUAUGUUAUUUUUGUUAUAUAGGCGAAUAAGUAAAACUUGUAAUUUUGGUUGAAGUUGAGUCACAAUUUUCUCAAAUUUAUGUUCCAUAUUUCUCCAAAAUCUGUGAUAAAUUUGAUCUGCGAAUUGAUCUACAAGUAUACACGCACUUUUGGAUGAUAGCUAAAUGCAUCUUUUAAGGUAUUAUUUUGUAAUUGUAUAUUUAAAAAUAGUAGACGGUACAGAGUCUGUAAUCUGUACAUCAGUGAUACGAUUACAAGUUACAUUGUAGUAGGAUGUGAUUCUAUGUGUGAUAAUCUGUGAUAAAUUUGAUCUACGAAUCGAUCUAUGAGUAUACAUGCACUUUUGGAUGAUAGCUAAAUGCAUCUUUUAGGGUAUUAUUUUGUAAUUGUAUAUUUAAAAAUAAUGGACUGUACAAAGUCUGUAAUCUGUAUAUCAGUGGUACGAUUACAAGUUACAUUGCAGUAGGAUGUGUUUCUAUGUGUCGUCAACCAAUACACAUGUAAUGGUCAAGAAUUACAUGUAAAUUCGGUAAUAGUUGGAAGUCAAGUUGAGCAUUCUAACGCCACUGAUGUCGACGGAAAGGCGAUGGAUAGAUGAGUCAUGUCGUCCUAGCUCUGCUACUGAAACUACUUCACGCGUUACGGGACAAGAUUGUGCGCAGACCUUUAUGAUACUUGCCGGAGGAAGUUACUGUUGCUGAUUGGAAAAUGACGUGCAGUCUUUUUUAUGAAGGAUGCUGUGAAAAUGCUGACACUAAGGGAAUCUUCGGAUGCAAUUUAGCUAAAAUUGGGCAACCGUUAUUGGAGUGAAAAGCGCAGCUGAUAAGUUUUGUAUCUGUAUCGAAAGGCGAUGGAUAGAUGAGUCAUGACGUCCUAGCUCUGCUACUGAAACUACUUCGCGCGUUACGGGACAAGAUUGUGCGCAGACCUUUAUGAUACUUGCCGAAGGAAGUUACUGUUGCUGAUUGGAAAAUGAAGUGCAGUCUUUUUUAUGAAGGAUGCUGUGAAAAUGCUGACACUAAGGGAAUCUUCGAAUGCAAUUUAGCUAAAAUUGGGCAACCGUUAUUGGAGCGAAAAGUGAAGCUGAUAAGUUUUGUAUCUGUAUCGAAGUAUGCUGCACAUCUUGGAUUCAAAGGAUUCUCUAGUCUUUUCUGCUCCCUUCUUGAAAAUGCGUCGGCAGGAAAUCCUCUCUUUCAAAUGGCCAAUGGACAAGCGUUGCAAAUCCUGGUUUUAUAUUAAACUAUCUAAAUCUAAUCUAAAUUGUGGCAUAAAACAGACUACUGUUUCCCUGCAGACGCAGGAACGACGAUAGCUACCAGCACCUCAACUACGAAUUUGAAAUGGUGGCUAAACUCAACAGAGCUGUUACCUCUUAACAUUUAAGAGUAUGGAAGCCACUUGGGCACUCAAGCACACACGUACUGCGCCCUAACGAGUCCCGUUUUCACGCCUACAUGAACACACCUUGAUGUCAGCCAUAAUAAGUUGAACAAAUAGAAACAAACCACACAUACCUAUUCCACCUAUCUAUUUGUAUGCGAUGUCGAUUUUCCUACCAUGGUGAUAGGAUUUCGUCUAAAUCGUACUGUUGAAUAACUGAUGGCCAUGAAUGAAAGAGAACGAGCACGACAGCCCCACUACAACGCUGGAUUCCGAUGUGGAGCGCACGUACAAGGAAUACAAAAUCAGCGAACGUACAAAAUUUCAUCUGUUUUUAUACUAGUCAAUAACCUAUUUGGCUAUUCUACUACACGCUUUGCAAUGCAGAAAUUUCUUGCAAAGAGAUGAGGAUCCGUUACUUUCUGGACUAUACUGAGUUGCGCCAUGCAAUGAUCUCGGUCGUGAGGUGACCAAUAUAACUACGUAAUUUUCACAGAGGCAAGAAAACAGUGCUAUCGGCAGUUCGAGAUAAUUAGUUGUUUAAUUGGGAUCGAUAACUGCUGCCAGCCAUUUCUAUAUAGGCAGCGAGUACUGCAUGGUCCUUAUCUGCUGAACAUUAAUGUUUUACCCAGGCAAGCGCGAAGAGGAUGCUGAGAGUCGCAUGAAGAUAGGGUAACAGCUUACGUACAUUGGUUUGGGUUACUUUUGUGACUCCUAGAAUGGUUCACCACCGUGGUUUGCUCGGCAAGCGAGAAGAGUCCUGAUAAGCGGUAGUACCUGUUACCCUAAUGGAUGGCCAGCAAGAAGAGAGCCAAAUUCAAGGACCAAAAUAAUGAAAAUCUAUGAUCGGCAAGCGGGAAAAUUUGAUCACCACAAUAACCGACGGUGCAAUUCGGCAGCAAGCGAGAAUAGAUCAUAGUCAAGAUUGUCGCCUACUUUCUUUCAUGGAGGCCCGGCAUAUUGUUAGGAUAGUACUGUAAAGAAAUCUUGAUGAAAUUGCAUCUUUCUGGUGUUGUUUAAAAUAAUUUGGAAAACGGCUUUGUCCAGAAUACGCAAAAAAUGACACUUUAACGUUGGCUGGCUUUAAGUGAUUGAGGAAGCACUUUUUACGAGCGAAUAUCCUGAACUUGCCGACAUUUUUGCUGAGCUCAAACGUUGAAGCAGAUAUAAGGGUUACCCUGAUACAAUAUUUAAUUUAAUGUUGUCGAAACACAAAUCAACAGUGCUGGCAAUGUUUUCGUUGGUUAUUUUAUAAUGUGAGUAAUUUUAUGCCGAAAGAUCCCCAUUUUUAGUUUGAAUGAAACGAACGGUAUUGUGAAAAAGACACAAAUAGCCGUCUUUACUUUAGACCACAAACUUGAAGAAACCACACAAAAAACAUCAAGUACAAUGAGUUUUUGUUCGUCUAGAAUAAAACAGUACCAAUGGUAUCAAUUCCAAAAUAAAUUCAGACGACGCACGGUAAUGUUGGCAGGUUCCUUACUGUAGACACACGAAAAAAAAUCAAAAAUCAAUCUUCACUUUGUUUAGGUACUCGCUCUAAAACACUUUGUUGUGUAAACGAAUCUUACUCCUUGUUAAAUUUCAAACGUUGUCUCACAAAGGUAUUAUGCUAAUGCCAAUUUACCAACUCCCAGACGCUCCCUAGUGGGUUGCCCUAAUGGAAGAGUAUGGAAAAGGGUCUAAUAAAAUUUUUAUUCUAUUUUGAAAUGAACUCGUUCUUUUAAUGGAAAAUAUAUUGAACUAUUAAUCAAUUAAAUGAGAACGUAAAUUAUAGUAACGUUUUGCCUUGUCCUGUGCUGUAUUCUUGUUGUUGUGAGUCCUGAUGGGAUGCGACCAUGUUUAUAGCAGGUCUAUCGAUAUUUUCCUCUUUUGCAUCUAGUGAAGUAGUGAAGCCGGGAGAUAUUGCUAAUCGAACAUUCCAUCGAUUAAUAAUACAACAGACACAUAAAUCGAGGCACUUUUCUGUGACAACUGUUAAUAAAGAGUAAGGACAGCAGAAGGAAUGGCGAUAAGGUCUGUGAACUGCGGAACUGUUUCGCAUUUCCCUUCGUAGAUGGACGUUACCGUGUUUGGGAUCUUGGGUAUGAUAGUAUAAUGAAACCCACCAAUGAACGGAAAGGAAUGAACGGAAAGGAGCUAUAAGGCGACAUAAAGCGCCAUCGAAAGUGAAACGGUUUAAUUCAAGACGGCAUCGUAGAAAUAACUCCAGGUAACGAGUCUAAUCUAUUUCCUUCUAUAAAUACUAUAUUCUCAUUUGGUUUUGAUGUUCUUUCACCUAAUGCAGUGAGCGAGACUAUCUAAUUGCCUUGUUUGUAAUAUUGGCGAACAAAGAAAGAUGAGUAGACGCUACAUGCUAAAUUUCCAUUGCUCUAAAAUAGCAAACAUUCCAGUUCUAAGAUACCUGAUAUAAAGGUCUAAUAUAAACCAUGUACCUUUGCGUUGUAAGGUGGCAAAUCUUUUUUGUAUUCAAUUUGUAUACAAAAGAUGAUCAUAGAAAAAAUUAUUUGUCCGAUGGGAGAAAGUAAUCUAGUAGGAUAAUUCUACAAGCGAUUAUUCCAUUGAUAAUGAUAAUAUUAUGGUAUAGUAUAUAGCCAUACUAAAACAAGGGUUAGUACUUUGGCUAAAACACCAACAGAUAGUAGCACCCAAAAACUGAAAUCGACAACGAUAAAAGAUAACCAUGUCCGGAGACAAAGAAAUGCGCGUUGGUACAUUUAAUUUGAAUUCAGAUGUGAAAGAAUAGGUUGAAUUUUAAGCAAUUAUUUUGAGAACAUUUGUCAUUACACUUAUACGCUAGCAGUAGGCAACAGGAGCGAUUAGAUAAGAUAAUCAGUGCAACCAAUUGCGAGAGUUUCUUGUCAUUGAUACAAUUUUGUUAUCCUAGGUGUGAUGGGUUUGCCAUAAGUAUUUUUUUACAUUGCCAUUGAUCUCGCCGUCAUCAAAUGUUGGUAUUGCGUGGGAGGUAGGGAUCUCCUCCGGCACCGUGCACGGAGAGACGACUUCAGGGGCCAUCAUGUGUGCUUACGCCAUUAGGGAAGUGUAGAAGUGGCAACCAAUUUCUCGACAGUUUAUGUUUGCCAUUGCUACAUCCCCUAGGGCGUCUGAAAACGCAUGUUCGUUCGUUGAAAGCUCGUUUUUAGAUCCGGGUUUGCGGUCUUUAUUACUCUUUUAGUGUUCGUGCCAUCUGGAGAGAGUUAAUAUUACUAACUGGCGAAUGAAACGAUAUGAAACGUAAAACCCACAUGGACUUAUUUCUAUACUCAUUCUAUCUUUAAGCUUCGAUCCUAUAUACUACGGCUGUCGACGAAAACAAUCAUCUUGUACCUGCAUAUUGUUUCUACCAUAGAUUUUAAGCGACGAGACAAUCUAGGUAUUUCGACUUAUUGUUUUCUAACGAAAACAAAUAAGUACCACUAAUGUGACGGUAUCAGAUCGAUGAGCAAGGGAACUCAUUAAGUGUCAGAAUACAUAGACGCCACCAAACGAGAUCCAAAUUGUACCAACAGCAGGAAAUUUUAAGCUGCAAUUUGAUGCACUGUUUGCUUAUUACAGCUGUAACGCGUAUAUAGUUUCUGGAAGAAAAAAAUUAUGAAUACGUAGUUUUGCAACAAACAAUAGUUUAUCUUGCAUGUUUGCCACGAGAAGCGGUGUUUCGUCUCUAGCGAGUUGUAACGGAUUCUGUCUCGGCCAGCCACUACAUUUGCGCAAGGAGUCACCGUGUUCUAACCAUUCGGGGUCACAUUUUUUCACUUUUCGUUUUCUUUAUUCCAACAAUCUUUAAACACCCGGUAACCGAUGAAAACAAAUUCACGAUACUUUCCUGCCACUACGCGCGUGUGGCGAAAAAGGUGCGCAACAUAACAAUCAAACAAAGCGCGGGCAAACUCAUUGCACCAUGAGCAACGCCACCGCGCAACUCACUGUUCCUGCCAUCGCUGAGUACGCGCACCACGCUCCAGAAUCAUCUACGUGUCAACUUAAUCGAAAAGAACCGAUCGCUGCAGCAAUAAUUGCCACGACCGGGUUUCGUGACAGGUACUCCUUUCUGCGUCGAAUGUACGACUUGCGAGCUGGAUUCGCAACAUGUUAGGAGAACACGCAAACGAUUCACCAGCUUUUGCUUGAUAAGCAUUCAAGUUCAAAAGAGUUAGUAAAUCUCCAAAGUUAGCCAAAGUUGGUUAGUCAAUAUUAGCUUUCAUGGUGUUCUUUCUAAUUACUUUCAUAGUGCAAGAUCGUAAACAAAACGGUGUAAUGGUAUUCAAUACUACAUUCAAAUGUCAGUAAUGAUUGAUAAUACGUAGAACAAGUCUAGCCACACCCAGUGAAAACUAAAGUAGAAACGCGACUGCUGAAAACACAAAAUAAAAACCAAAAAAAUCAACCCCAUAAAAUAUCCAACCCGAUAAACUAUCCAACCCAUAAUAGAAAAAAAAAUACGCGUGACGUUUAAAAAUCAACCCAACAAAUAAAAGGACAUGUGGGACGAGGGUGGGCUAAUAAAAUAUCAUAUAACAUUCAGCACAUUUCAUGGCACCAAAAAUAAAAUACGUCCGGUUCCCUAAAACGGUCAGCUUUUGUAAUAAUGAGUAGUCUUGUAAGUUGAUUUAUUUCUUUCUGUUUUCCUACAUUACUGAUGACAGGCAUUUGGUAAAUAUGCGAAGAAAUGUGAACAUUUGUCACUCAACGGGCGUGGUAGAGGCGGGUUGGCGCGGGGCUAACAAGCCCGCCCGUAAAAACGAACUGUUAUCGAUAGAUAGCACCAGAGAUAUUAACAAUUUCUCUGGUGUGCAGGCCAAGACUGCACAGCGGUUGUAACGCCAAAGAAGAAUAACUCAGUCGCUUAAAUAAUCGAUGCAACAAUUAAUGGUUUAAUUAUGCUAAGCUAAACUAGUUUAUUGUUAUAUAAACAAGAAACAAACACAUCAGGCAAAAGCGUAAACCUAUAGAGUGUAAAAUGUAGGUUAAGACUUAGGUUGCUAGCUAUGCAUCCAUGCGCUACUACGUGAUAUCUUUUUUAAGAGUUAUUACAGUCUCGAAUCCGUGAACGAUUUUUUGUGUCAUGCGUCGUUUGGAAAUUAUCUAUAAAGAUUCUCGUUAAUAUAUGAUGGCUACAUUGCUCCGUUUAUCGAACGAUUUUUGAAGUGGCUACCAUUGCAAAAUAUUACACUCGCAUAAUCCAAUAGGCAUUUGCGAAUAGAAUUUCGUUCAUCAUACUUAGUCGUUUUUCUUGGCUCAUCCAUGCAACGUGAAUGAGUUGAACUUUGUCGUGGGUGAUCGCGAGAGUCAAACAAGAUUUGCUUACUCGUUGGCGUAAUAAUCGAAAAAGUUGUACAAAGGAUCCAUCCGUCGAACUGGCAUGUACGGGUCUGAACGAUGCUGGAAACCGUGAGAUUUUUGCGGAUGGCACGGUUCGCGAUAACAGUUACCGUUGAUACAACCGUUACAUUUGCCGUUACAGCAACGCAGUCCGUGAGCGCACUGACCAAACAGUACGGUUCCAGCUGCAUUACCACCACAGUUUUCUCCGGGGCCCUGCAUUUAGAGCAAGGAUUUAAAUUACAGAAUGUGAAGAAACAACAAUGCAAUGAUAUUACCUUUACGCACGCCAAUUUGUUGCAAACAUUCAAGAAGGCACCAUGAGGACAAAGACUCGCGUCAGUUACAGGUGGUAUUAACCUGCAUCGGAUUUCUAUUAAGUUUGUUCUACCAAAAAUUGAAUAAAAGAAACGCAUAUUUUAGGGAUGAUGCACUCAAAGCACUUGAAAUUAACUGACGGUUGGGCGAGACUCCAAUAAAGGUAUCCUAUCAAUAACACCGUGAAAAGUAGUACACCGCUCGAAGACAUUUUGCAAAUUAAAGUAGGAACAAUAGCACACACUAGUUUAGCUUAAACUAGUAGUACACUAAAAUAGAUAGAAUUUGAAAACUGUUUGCCUAUUUUUCUAUUUGUGUCAAGUAGAAAGAAACUAUCUACGAAUAUCUACUCUCGAAACCGCACAGAACUAUGUAUCACUUAUUUGUGUACGUUGGAUAUUCCUGACCAGAAGCUUUUAUAGUUGGCCCAGACAAUGCCUAUGAAUAUUUGCAAGAUUAGUAGUUUUUUUUUAUUCAUUGUUGCAUUUACAAAGCACGAGAAUAUUUUCAAUUCAGGAUCUCCAUAUUCAAUCGCGCCCACUUGGAUGGAUACCCUGCGGGCUAGUGACAUCUAUCCAACACCAUUCGCCAACGCCAAAUUAAAAAAAAUCUUAAAAACUUAAAUCCGGAGAAACCACAAGCUUAAGAUUUCCAACGUUCAUCAGCAUGUUGUGCGUCCCGGUAAAACAAAUAGCUUGACGGGCAUUUUAAUUAAGUUGACAGUCGCGGUCAAGCGGAAUUGCUGUAAUCGCUACAAUAUUCCACUUUGAUUUUGCAAAGAAAAAGUGGAUGAAUAAUUAAGUUCGCGUUUUGAAUAUGUUAUGAAUAUAUUGUUAAUCGCUAUUUUCGUACCAACUCCUAGAAAAGUGAGAACAAAAACUACAUUAAGACUAGCGAAGUGUGCCAGGUUUAGUGCCGUCAGUAAUAAGGUGCGAAGUUUUUUUUAAUCUUAGAAGAACGGACCGAGCCGUAUUCAUAGGUGUACGAAGUUAAAGAGACAUUUAUUUAUAUUUAGCUGUUUAUUCAAGUUUGUGCCAAAUAAACAAUAUAGCUGUGUAC